ACCCCCUAGCAAUGGGAAAGAGACACCUUGGUGGUGGUGGUGGUGUUCUUACAUCAGUCAGGGGCAGAGCAGAUGGCAGUCCUUGGUUCAUCCUAGCUGAUGCCUGGCUUGACAGUCAAAGCUGUUUUAUGCUUAGGACUCAUAA